GUGGUCACGCUUCCCUUAAGCCCACAGAUGGGCCAGGAGUAAGAACCUGAGAGCCAGGCUUGCAGGAAAGACCUCAGGAUGCAAGGCUGACUGCCACCAAUGAGAAUGAUGGUCUUGGGAGUCCCUGGCCUCAUUCAGCAGUUGUCAGCACCAGGGCCUCAUGAAGUCUGUGUGAACCACAGGCUCCCCUGCUUCCCGCCAUCCCUUCCCUGAAUCCCGGCGCUCCUGUCAAAUUAAAGAAGAAAGAAGCACUCACCGCCUGAAAGCCAGCCAAUAUGGUGAUUAUUCCACUUUUCCUGGAAUGAGCCUUCUACACUUUCACUGGCUGAAGCCAUCGGCAGCCAGGGUUCCCACCUCUCCAAGCUGCUCUCACACCCUCUGCAGCUCCCCAAGAUGCUUUCAAGCAAACAAAACAAAACCGGCACACUGCCUCUCCGGCAUCAUCAGAAUUCACAGCCAGCCAACAAACCCAGACGUGGGUAAUGAAUGCCACUGAGAAGCCUGCACAGCGCCAGAUGCCGGGAGGGUCUUAGCAAGUGCAGAGCCUGGAAGCUCUGCUGCUGGGGACACAGCCUCCUUGCCCUGCUCACUGGGGCUCAGUGCCGAUCAGGAGGGAAGCACUAGAAACACAGAGUCUGUCGUAGCUCUCACACAGUUUCAAAGAAAGGAGUCACGAAGGAGAUACAGGCAAGCACAGAGCUACACAGGCCUUGAGCUGCUGUCGAGGUUCUGAUGCCAUUAUUAGAGCAAUCUGUCAAGGAGAAUGCAGACACAAAAAUAGAGCACAAUCAGGUGGCCAUGACCUGACGCGGCGACGAGACCCUGAGUUCUACUAUAUUCUAGGUUAGGUACUUGGGAGAGUUACUCAGCCUCUGCACUGACAGCUCAGGACCACACCGCUGCAGUCAGCCCCCUGAGCUGUGCACCUCUUUCAGAGUUGGAUAUGGAUUCCCUACGACCACACCAAACUUUGAUGCUCCCGUGAGUCAGACAGGGCUACUUGGUGUGCGUUUUUCUAUUUAAAGAUCAGACAGGGCUUACACACAGACACCAUUCAAGCCUGUAUCUUCUAAGAAAUGGGUGCUAAAUACGGCAUCUUCGGCCCUCACUUUCCAUCAACACAGGAGAUGUUCUUGUUGACAACGGAGGAUUCUUUUUUUCCACUGCCAGCUGCACAGGAAGGAGGGGCGAUGGGGAGGGGUGUGCUGCCUGCCUCCUGGGCUGGGAUGUGGAGGGGUCAACAUCACCAACUCCCCCUCCAAAUGCCAUUGCCAGGGUGGAGAGAGAUGGAGAGUGCUCACCCACCAGACAGUAGUCUUAGGAUCCAAUGCCAAUAUGGGGUGUCUGAAGAUGGGCACAGGACAUGCCAGCAGGGCCAUCCACCUGAAAUAAGCUGGGGGACGAGGACGGGUCUCCUGAUAGCACCCUCUUGAAAUCUUGGUGGAGGGACGAAACAUUCCCACACGGAGUGCCCAUUUCCAGAGGAUCAAAGAUUAGUCAGCCAGCAAGCCAGGCAGCCUGUAGCCAGAGCUCUGCCCGCUGGGGGGCACGUGAGCGUCUCUAAAUUGCCUUCUUUCCUUGGGGCCACCACACUCUAGGAAAGCAGACUGUGUGUGCUCUAGCAAUCACAGGCAAAAUUGGAAGUACGGCGGCGCAAUGUCCUCCACCCUGGGAGCUACUCAGGAGAGAAGCUGUGCACUCCAAUUCUGCCCAGACAGGCAGUGCCUGAGCAGGCCAGUCCAGGCCUCUCCUUCCAGCUCUCCCUCCAUCCCAGCUUUUUGGAGAGAAAGCAAACAGACCCUUGACCAGAUGGAGCCUUCCUCGCUAAUAAACCUAGCCUAAGACGUGUUCAAGAAGAAGUAGAAAAUUACCUUUCAGGAAGCCAACAUGAGGUCUCAGAGAGCCGCCCCCAGCCCGCAGCAGCGCUAUAGGCGGCUCAUGCCUGGAAGUGCCAGCACACGGUCCCCUGGCUGUGUGAGGAGCCACCACGCAGGGACAACAGAGGCAAGGAAGAAGGCAAGCGGGAGAGGAAGGGGUGGGGAGAGGCGCGGGAGGGCGGGAAGGAGGGAGAAUUGAUUCUCUCUCCUCCACUGGGACCACUGAGCUAAGUUGCCAUGGAGAAAGGGGAGCCGCUGGCAGAGCUUGAGGCGGGCGGAGGAGCCAUAUGCCAGGGGAAGGCGUCAGCAGAGCCAAUCCCACAGUUCUGCUGUGGCAACCUCCCCAAACAGGCCUCGGCCUGCGCACCGAGGCAGGGUGGGGCAUGGCUGGACGGUGGGUGGGCGAAAACAGCCCUCCACUACAGCCACCCCGAGAAAAAGCAAAACCCAGGAAGCUUCCCUGCAUCAGGCUGCUCAUCCGCCCUACAGCUGGGACCCUGGACCUGCCUCCUCACGCUGCCUCUAACCUCAUGCAACCCAAGGUCAAAGUCCCAGGAACAGGCAGGCGGUCCCCUCCCUAGGCGUUUUAGAAGCAUCGCCUUUCGGUCCUUGCCUCCUGUUUCUAAAACUCAGCCACCAAACCCUGAGUCAUACUUUCCCACCCUCAGGAAGGAGGGGAUGCCCACCCACAGGAAGGCUUCUGUAGCCCAGAGCCACCAAGGCAGGAAGCCAAGGUGGGAGGCUGCUGGGCACCUGCUGGUUAAAGAUGAGACCGGAUCAUGGGCACCCUGGACCAGACCCACAUUGAGCUGUAUCUCCCACCUGCACACUACCAACCUCGCUGUGGCUGCUGUGCAAACCUUGCUACAGGGCUGGCUCUGCUCUGCCCCCAGCCUCACAUCACAGCCUCUGGCUGCAGAGGCUAGGGGAGGACAGGAGCCUGGCUGGAGUCUCUUUUCUCUCUCCGGAGAUCACAGGGCCAUUGCCAGUCUGGUCACAUCUCUGUGCUUUCAUUUCCUUGGUACAAACUGAGACAGGACCAUUUUCUCUACCGAGCUGCGCUCUGGGGCAUCAUGAUGCUGGCAGAUGUAGGGAAGGCUGAGCUGUGGACGUUGUGUCCUUCCAGAUCCAGUUGGAAGCACUGGGGCAGCAUCCAAUGCCCUGCCUCCCCUUGUGCACUUGGCUGGCAAAGCUGGAGCCCACAGCAGUGCCCCCAGGCCUGUUGCUCUUGAGGGAACAUCUGAGUGUACCAUGCCCCACCUUGCCUCUGAAGCCUGCAGUCAAGAAAACAUUUCCUCUUCCUGCCCCAUUCCAACAAUGUUAUGAAAAUAUCCCAGUAUAUGAAUAAAUCAGAAAAAUGUUAUAAGGAACGUAUAGAUUUACUAACCAGAUUUCUGUUUCCUCUCACUUUUCUAUUGUUAAAAAAAAAAUAGAACAAAGAAUAUACUGUUUUUAUCAACUGAGAGCAUACAGUUUGGUAACAUGAAGUCUAUCCACAGUGUGGUACAACUGCCACCUGCAUCCAGUAGCAAACAUCUGCAUUACCCUGAAAGGAGACACAUGGGAGAGCCGUUUUGUUACGCUUCGCUCUAGCCCCUGAUCACCACUAGUCUACUGCCCACAGACACGCUUGCUUUGAGGGUUUCAUAUGAAUGGGAUUUCGGAGUGCAUGCAACCUUUUGGAACUGGCUUCUUUCAUUUAUCAUCAUGUUCUUUCUCAAAGUUCAUACAAGGUUGUACCCUAUGUAGGUUGCUUCCUUCCUUCAUGGCAGAAUAAUAUCCUAUUGAUUAGAUAGACUCACUACACAUAUCUACUCACCACAGGAUGGACACAUGAGGUAUUUCUACAUUUGGGUUCCCCCCUCAUUCCUCUCCCCAAGACCUAAGGAAGUGUCCGGGGCAUUCAGUCACCAAGCUGCAAGUUACCCCAAAUUAAAUAUUUAUCCACUCAUCUUUCCAAUCAGCAAGGCUCACCUAUGUCUGGCCUGGGGACAAAGGCAAAAGGCUCCAAGUGGCCUCAGUCUCUUCUGUCCUGGGGAAGCUGCCAGCUGGGCAGGAGGAUUUACAGGCACCCUCCUCCAUACCUUCGUUGACAGAUAAAGCUGAGUUCUAGGGCCACUGGCAUUGCUGGCUGUACGAAUGGUGAGUAUUCCCCUUUAGCCACAAGCUGUCAGGUCCCUGUCUCAUGGGGUUGCUUCAGAGGCAAGGCCAAUGCUGCCCAAGUGAACGAUCCAUGAGGAUACCCACCCUGUAUGUUCUGCCAGCCAGGCGCGGCUGUUGUCACCCCAUGGGCCUAGGUGGCCACUGACAUUCAAACUGUGGCUAGUGCUGAUAGAAAAUGUUGCUUUGCUUUUUGUUGACAACUGAAAUGAAAGGCUUACACGGAGCUGUGGGGAUCACCAGGGACAGAACGGCUCUGAAGGUAGAGAAAACGAACAGUUUAGCUCCCCAACCUCUGCUUCUCCCUUUCCUCUCUCCACUUACCUGAGCUGUCUCGGGUGUGGGGAGGCUUCUGGCUGCAGCCUGAGCCAAGGCCUAUCUAGAAGGACAGAGGGUAUGUGGUGGGGCUCUCAGGGAACCAAACAGAUAGCAGCGGGGGAGUCGGCUCCUUAGACUCCAUAAUGACAAGAGUCUCUGAACCUCAGGCCUGGAGCCUCCUCUCUGCCCUGUUCUAGAACCACUCCCUUCCCCUGUCUCCCCCAGCAACUCCUGAUGUCAUCCCAGAAUGCCUGGACAGGGGCUGUGGGAUUGGAACUUUCCUACCAUCUCCAUGAGUCAGCAGAACCCUGUGUGGUUACACAACCUUGGUCCCAGGCUAGGCUGAGCGUCAGGUGCUCGGGGAGACUACCCCCUGCACCCCCAGCUGCCCUCCAGACUCCCAAUGCAUGGGUGGCUUCACAGUGACCCAGACCACACUCUGAAACCACCCUCUCCCUCAGGAGGUGUAUAAGGACUCACUCAGAGGGUGCAGUGCUUUUCCCGGGCUCAUCCAGCAAGGCUGGUCCCAGGCCCAUGGCCAUCCUGGGGUGGGGGCGGGGGUUGGUGGUACAAGCUCAUUCUCCUGGGACCUCCAGUGCUGGCUAGGCAAAGAGCUAUUUGUCUCAAAGUUACAACAGCAGAGAUGAGAGACAGAGUACACCAUUGCUCUCCUGUCCCCGGUCACAUGAACCUGCCUAGCAUGUGUGGGAUAACAGUAAGGUGGCCAUGAAGACUCCCACAAGUAGGGCAAAUUUAAACACAGCCACAAGGCACAGUUGGCCUCAAUCUCUGUGGUUUCCACAUCCAGAGAGUAAACUAACCACAGACUGAAAUGGAAAAUAUUGAGGGAAAAAGGAUCGCAUCUGUACUGAGCAAGUGCAGAACUUUUUUCUUGCUGUUAAUUCCCUGAGUGGUACUGUGGGACAGUUCUUUGUGGGAAUGGCGCAGUGUGAAUGAUCCUCACACGACUAGAGUGUUCAGCGCCACAAAUAGUCUAGAGAGCUGAGGUGUCCAGAAGGACAUUCGCUGGGCAUAUGCAGCACUCUGCCUUCCACAGAAGGGGAUGGAACACUCUGGUAGAAACGAUGCCUCAGACCCAAGGGGCGACUGUAAACAUGGUCCCCGUUGCUCUGUCCUGAGCUGGCAGGUGCUGCUGGGGACAGGUCUGUUCUUUUCCUGCAAAACCCUUCCUUGCCUCCCAGCUUCCCAUGCUCCUGCAGCAGAAGGCCCAGGGGACCCACCACAAACCUGAAGGGACAUCUUGCCUCCCACAGCUCGAAUCUCCAGUGGCCUCCCUGCCUCUUACUCACACUGUCCAGACUGGGGCCCAACUCUUCCCGCAGGCGUUUGCGCCUGCACAACCUGCUCCUGCUAGCCUCUGCCUGAGCACAUAUUACUCAGGCCUUCUCAGCCACUUAGUUAACUCUGAGUCCUGCCUGGGCUUUCCCUUGACCCCCUCAUUGUUUCCAUGGCGUCAACCUUACCUAAUAUACGGUCUACUGUCCUUUGAUGCUUUUGCUUUCCAAAUGGUGGUAAAUGUUAAUUUGCUACCCUGAUAGCUUGUUAAGUGCUUGGUUCAGUAGCCUUAAGGAUAUUAACGUGGCUAUACAGUCCUCCCCACUAUCUCUACAACCUUUUCACUUCCCAAACCAGAACUGCACUCAUUAAACACCAACUCCCCAACCCAACCCACCCCUGUUGCCCUCCAUUUUACUUCUGUCUCUAUGGAUCUGACUCCAGUGACCACUUUAUGGUGUCAUUACAGCGCAUGGAAUUAUACCAUGGUCCCGCUAUGCUUGGCUUCUUUCACUUAGCAGUUCAUCUGCGCCAUACGUAGCAUGUUCCUCUGUAAAACUGUCUGUCAUGCUGGGCAGGGUAGCACAUGCCUUUGUUUUCAGUACUUGGGAUUUAAUCUAGUAGGUGUAUCUCUAUGAGUUGGAGGCCAGCCUGGUCUACAGAGGAAGUUCCAGGACAGCCAGGCCCACACAGAGAAACCCUGUCUCGAAAACCAAAGCCACCAAAUAAAAUUAAAAAAACAACAACUGUCUAUCUCACGUACUAGAUGGAGACUUCUAGGGUGGUUGUAUUCACUGCUGUGUCCCAGGGUACGCCUGGGAGAAUACUGGGCAUACAACAGGCACUGAACAAAUGCUUUAAAUGGAUGAAUAAUGAGUGAGUACGCAGACAGAUGGGUGAAUGAAUGGACAGAUAGGUGAAUGGGGAAAGAUGGAUGACUGGAUGGCUGAAUGAAUGACAGGUAGAUAGAUGGAGAAGCUGCAGAGCAAGUACCUCAAUUCACAUGUCUGUGUCAGGCCCUGAUUUAUAGGCAGACCUCAGCUCCUGGUCCUCCCAAUGACAAAGCUUCUUGCCCUGGAGCCCAAGGCCUCCACCCGAAGAUGUGGCCAUAUUCAGUGUGGCAGGACUCUCCCCUAAACUUCACAAUGGCUUCUCCUAUAGGGUUAGCCCCUUCAGGAUGCCCCCUCAGAUGAGGCACAUCAGGGAGAAUUGACUAGAGAACCAAAAGUUCUUAAUCAUAGUUUAUUAGUUUGUUUCUUCAACAGAGUCUCACUCUAUAGCCCUGGCUGGCCUAGAACUCCUGUCUCUGCCUCCUGAGUGUUGGGAUUAAAGUCUUGUACCACCAUGCAAGGGUCCCAGUUGUAAUAUAAAGGGGCCUAGGAGCCUCAGGCAGCCUCAGGGUGUGGCAGAGAAGAGAGUGGGAUGCCAGGAAGUGCCUGGAACACACAUUUCAUCUAAGGAGCAGAGCCUUCGAAAGCCAGGACAACAGCCUGGGUAGGCUGAGGGCUAGACCUUCAGCCCUGCUCUGCAUCUGGGCCUACAACCUUGGCAGCAAUUCGCCUCUCACCUUUUCCACAUCCUGCCUAGCUAUUUAUAGCCAUCCUCUCUCUGAGAACUACUUUACCCAUUUUUUUUUUCCCUAGCUGGACGGACUUGGUAAAUCGAAGUCAGGAGAACCUCACCUUUGUAUCCAGGAGGUUUCAUGGUAUGGCUAUAGUUGGCUGGCUCUGCCUGCACCCCGUCUUGUGAUGGGCCUCGGGGCCUGUGAUAUCCUCUGCCAGGUGUGUGGUGCCUCUAGAGAGAAGCAAUUAACACAGCAGCCCAGGCAGACCUCAACUUGUGGGGCUAGAAGAUGGGGAUCCUAUAAAGCCCGGGUUACCCCAAAGUUACUCUCUGCUCUAGGAAAGACAUAUUGUGGUGGUGGAAGGACAGCUGUACCUUUAAAUGCUUGGGCCCACAGAUACGAAAAACAUUUGCACUCUCUGGCUGUUUGCAUCUUUGGUUAUUUUUAGGGUGAACCCAGUUGCCUCCCCUUGGAACCGGAUGAAGCCCCAGAGAAGGCACGUAGUCCUUUUUCCCAGAUGGGGGGUCCUGCUCCUGUUUCCCUGGGAACGAAGUCUUAGACAUGGGCUAUCUAGGGAACUGCCCCCCCAUCCCCCAGCAUUACACACUGAACCCCUCUCAGGCUCACUUGAAGGACCUGUGCACAGAAGCAGCUUUGCUCCUAUUGUGAAGAUCUGCUGCUGACAUCAGGGCCACCCACCUGCACCCUGAGGGCCCCUUGACACCCCCGGGGGCUGAAGAAAAGAAAGCAUGAUGCAAUCCCCCCAAGAACCCGGCAGUCCCAGCCGAUGGGAAUGUCUGGCUGGCGUAUUUCUAGAACAGCGGCAAUUAAGAGGCGAUCUUCUCUCCUGCCCCCCUCCCCAAAACAGAAAUAAAUCAGUGCCUCCAUUCUCCCA
rnacentral:lncRNA from 1 species